UUGGAGGGCAAGUCUGGUGCCAGCAGCCGCGGUAAUUCCAGCUCCAAUAGCGUAUAUUAAAGUUGUUGCAGUUAAAAAGCUCGUAGUUGAAUUUCGGGAUUGACGUGAUGGUCGUGCCUUACGGGGUAUGAACUGUUGCAGUCAAUUUCUCACCUUCUGGAGAAAUAUGAUGUCCUUAAUUGGGUGUCAUAUGGAACCAGAACUUUUACCUUGAAAAAAUUAGAGUGUUUAAAGCAGGCUUAUUGCUCGAAUACAUUAGCAUGGAAUAAUAAAAUAGGACGGCAUGGUUCUAUUUUGUUGGUUUCUAGGAUCACCGUAAUGAUUAAUAGGGAUAGUUGGGGGCAUUAGUAUUCAAUUGUCAGAGGUGAAAUUCUUGGAUUUAUUGAAGACUAACUACUGCGAAAGCAUUUGCCAAGGAUGUUUUCAUUAAUCAAGAACGAAAGUUAGGGGAUCGAAGACGAUCAGAUACCGUCGUAGUCUUAACCAUAAACUAUGCCGACUAGGAAUCAGACGAUGUUAAUUUUUUAAUGACUCGUUUGGCACCUUACGGGAAACCAAAGUGUUUGGGUUC
rnacentral:rRNA from 1 species